GUUCAGGGGCCAGAAUGAGGGGAAAGAAGCAGGUUAUUGCACUGGUCUAGACAAGAGAUGCUGACAACAAGGUGCACAUCGGGAGGAUGAAACUAAUUCCAGAAACGCAAGAAGUGGUACAGCCACGUGUGCGGGGUACAGAGCUCAAUCCUCCGCACCGCCGAAGACACGGGACGGUGGCAAGACUUGAGAAGUAAUUAGAUGAGGAAAGUAAAGGAGGCAAAAGUUCAAAGGCUCCCUGGCUGACAAGAUCGAUGACAUUACCACCAACUAAAACAAGUUAAAGGAGAACAGGAGCUCCAAGAAAUGAAGAGCCACUCUUUACUUUCGGGUGGAGAGAAGAUAUUCGACCCGGUGAGCCUCUGCACACCCGAAAAUUCUGCCUGGAUGCCAUCUCACACAGCAGCCCUGUCACCCUCUAUGACUGUCACGGCAUGAAAGGGAACCAGCUCUGGGGAUACCGGGAGGACAGAACAUUAUUUCAUCCUGUGAGCAACAGCUGUAUGGAUUGCAACCCCUCAGAGAAGAAGAUUUUCAUGGCCAGAUGUGACCCUCUAUCUGAGACUCAGCAAUGGAUUUUUGAACAUAUCAACAUGACUGUUUUAGAAAAAAAUAGCCACUAUGCCAUCUCCUAGAAAGGCAAGAAGAGAGAUUACCUACAGGUUGUGAACUGUGUUGUUGCAGGCGUCUGGGUCAAAGGAGUCAGGAGAAACAUUUCCUAGAUCCCAGGAAGCCUGGUUGAACGAUGUGUAAAGGCCAUGUUGACAUAGGCUGUCCAGGAGACGUUCCUACAUCUGAAGAACUUGGCUGAGAACCUCACCAGCUGCUUCUGAGAACCGAGACUAGCAGUUCCCUUGCUGGCCAAGGGUAAAGAUUACUUAGGGACUUUCAUCUCGACUGCUGAGUUAAUCAAUCCUAGCAUUUCUCAGGUCAAAUCCUGCAGUAGUGAGUAGCUAUGAAUGGAUCCUAUUAACCGGGUGGGAGGGGGGUGGAAACAGAGCGCAUGACUGCUCUGGCAACCUGAGGCUACCACAGGUCUAGAACUAGCCACGCUUAAGGGGUGAGCUGUACUCUUUGGUGCAAUUCUCUGACUAAGAGUGGGUUAAGCAGGUUUAACCCUUUAAAGUGCUGCAGAUGAUUUUAGAGUGCUCAUACCAUUUUUCUCUUUUCUUUGGUCUUCUCUUUAAACAAGGGUACAUGGCGUCGAACACUUACAUUACAUGCUCUCAUCCAAAGGCCAUGCUAUCCGUCAUGGUUCAUAAGAGCUCAUGGUCCACCAAUUAGCUGAAGUUCUAAUUCAGUGACCUUAGAUGAAUCCAGUUAAAAACAAAAACAAACAAACAAAAACUAUGCUACCCAGUUACUCCAAAGAAAGAUUUCUCAGAAGCAACAGAAUAUCACAAACACUCCCACAUACACACACACACAAGUUAGGGGAAAAUUUCCUUAGGAAAUCUAUUUUUACUUUUCUAUUAUUUUUAAAUAAAAAUCUGAUGUUUGUCCAGUCAUAAUUUUUAUUAAAGAAGACAGUGGAGAGGGUUCCAUGUAAUUUGUUUAGUCUAUCGUAAAUAAAUCUUCACUCCUAGUGAUGU
rnacentral:lncRNA from 1 species